AUUGAACGCUGGCGGCAGGCCUAACACAUGCAAGUCGAGCGCGAAAGGCCUUCGGGCUGAGUAGAGCGGCGGACGGGUGAGUAACGCGUAGGAAUCUACCUGGUAGUGGGGGACAACUUGGGGAAACUCAAGCUAAUACCGCAUACGCCCCAUGGGGGAAAGCGGGGGACCUUCGGGCCUCGUGCUAUCGGAUGAGCCUGCGUAGGAUUAGCUAGUUGGUGAGGUAAAGGCUCACCAAGGCGACGAUCCUUAGCUGGUCUGAGAGGAUGAUCAGCCACACUGGGACUGAGACACGGCCCAGACUCCUACGGGAGGCAGCAGUGGGGAAUAUUGCGCAAUGGGGGCAACCCUGACGCAGCCAUGCCGCGUGUGUGAAGAAGGCCUUCGGGUUGUAAAGCACUUUAAGUGGGGAAGAAAAGCUGUAGCCUAAUAAGCUGCAGCCGUGACAUUACCCACAGAAUAAGCACCGGCUAACUCCGUGCCAGCCGCCGCAGUAAAAC
rnacentral:rRNA from 1 species